UACGAGGGGGGCGAGCGUUGUUCGGAAUUAUUGGGCGUAAAGGGUGCGUAGGCGGUCUGGUAAGUCUGACGUGAAAUCUCCGGGCCUAACCCGGAAACUGCGUCGGAUACUAUCCGGCUAGAGGAUUGGAAGGGAGACUGGAAUACUUGGUGUAGCAGUGAAAUGCGUAGAUAUCAAGUGGAACACCAGUGGCGAAGGCGAGUCUCUGGACAAUUCCUGACGCUGAGGCACGAAAGCCAGGGGAGCAAACGGG
rnacentral:rRNA from 1 species